rnacentral:rRNA from 1 species
UACAGGGGGGUGCAAACGUUGCUCGGAAUUAUUGGGCGUAAAGCGCGUGUAGGCGGCUUGGUAAGUCCGCUCUGAAAGCCCGGGGCUCAACCCCGGGAGGCGGGUGGAUACUGUCAAGCUCGAGUCCGGAAGAGGAGACUGGAAUUCCUGGUGUAGCAGUGAAAUGCGUAGAUAUCAGGAGGAAUACCGAUGGCGAAGGCAGGUCUCUGGGCUGAAACUGACGCUCAUGCACGAAAGCGUGGGGAGCAAACAGG